rnacentral:lncRNA from 1 species
UCAAGGCAUACAGGAGGCAUCUUGCAGCAGCUCCUGCAGGGGUGCACCUGAAUGGCUUUGGGGUCCUGCACAGCAACAGGAGCAAUUUUGGAAAAACUCAGAACAGCAUGAAAACAAGAGAGUAACGUGGAGAGAAGUACAACUCAAGUUACCAAAACCCUGUAAAAUAAUGAAAUCAGAGAACAGAAGCAAGAAUUUGAUCAACUGUUUCAGGUCAAGUAUGAAGACUAAAGAAGAUCAUCAUUGCUCACCGUGCUCACCAUUGGCCUGUUUCUUCCUUGGAAAACUGUCUGCACUGAAAGAACAAGAUGUGGUUGAUAAUCCAUAA